UAGUUUACUACACCGUAUUCUGUGAGUUGCGAACGGGUGAGUAACGCGUAGGUAACCUGCCUGGUAGCGGGGGAUAACUAUUGGAAACGAUAGCUAAUACCGCAUAAGAACAUUUACUGCAUGGUAGAUGUUUAAAAGGUGCAAAAGCAUCACUACCAGAUGGACCUGCGUUGUAUUAGCUAGUUGGUGAGGUAACGGCUCACCAAGGCAACGAUACAUAGCCGACCUGAGAGGGUGAUCGGCCACACUGGGACUGAGACACGGCCCAGACUCCUACGGGAGGCAGCAGUAGGGAAUCUUCGGCAAUGGGGGGAACCCUGACCGAGCAACGCCGCGUGAGUGAAGAAGGUUUUCGGAUCGUAAAGCUCUGUUGUUAAGGAAGAACGUGUGUGAGAGUGGAAAGUUCACACAGUGACGGUACUUAACCAGAAAGGGACGGCUAACUACGUGCCAGCAGCCGCGGUAAUACGUAGGUCCCGAGCGUUGUCCGGAUUUAUUGGGCGUAAAGCGAGCGCAGGCGGUUAGAUAAGUCUGAAGUGAAAGGCAGUGGCUCAACCAUUGUAGGCUUUGGAAACUGUUUAACUUGAGUGCAGAAGGGGAGAGUGGAAUUCCAUGUGUAGCGGUGAAAUGCGUAGAUAUAUGGAGGAACACCGGUGGCGAAAGCGGCUCUCUGGUCUGUAACUGACGCUGAGGCUCGAAAGCGUGGGGAGCGAACAGGAUUAGAUACCCUGGUAGUCCACGCCGUAAACGAUGAGUGCUAGGUGUUAGGUCCUUUCCGG
rnacentral:rRNA from 1 species